rnacentral:lncRNA from 1 species
AUGGUGUGUAUGUUACUGGUACAGUUACAGCUUCGCUUCGUAUAUAGGGGAAAUUUUUUUGUAUACGGCGGAUUUGUCGACGUGCCCGGGGGAAAGAGUAAUCCGGGGCAUGACAGAUUAAGUUGGUAUCAGAGCUUAGCAUUAGGUCGUUGGGACCUAGGAACUCUAAGUUUGGCAAACUUUAGGAAGGCAAGACGCGAGAGGCGUGAUUUAUUGCGAAAGUCAAUGAUUGAAUAGUUAUAACUCCUCCUAGAGUGGAGUGAGUGAUUGAAGGAGUGUCUGUUUCGGUCCAGAAAAAUUAUGUUGGCUGUAGACGACAUAAUUUUGAGGAGAAACAGGGGCUGCCUUUUAGACUUUUAUUUGAUUGGGUCGAAAGUGUUUGUAUUUUAUCUGA